rnacentral:rRNA from 1 species
UACGAAGGGGGCUAGCGUUGCUCGGAAUCACUGGGCGUAAAGGGUGCGUAGGCGGGUCUUUAAGUCAGGGGUGAAAUCCUGGAGCUCAACUCCAGAACUGCCUUUGAUACUGAGGAUCUUGAGUACGGGAGAGGUGAGUGGAACUGCGAGUGUAGAGGUGAAAUUCGUAGAUAUUCGCAAGAACACCAGUGGCGAAGGCGGCUCACUGGUCCGGUACUGACGCUGAGGUGCGAAAGCGUGGGGAGCAAACGGG